rnacentral:rRNA from 1 species
UACAGAGGGUGCGAGCGUUGUUCGGAAUUAUUGGGCGUAAAGAGCUCGUAGGCGGUGUGUCGCGUCGGCCGUGAAAACCUGCAGCUUAACUGUGGGCUUGCGGUUGAUACGGGCAUCACUGGAGUUCGGCAGGGGAGACUGGAAUUCCUGGUGUAGCGGUGAAAUGCGCAGAUAUCAGGAGGAACACCAAUGGCGAAGGCAGCUCGCUGGGACGGUACUGACGCUGAGACGCGAAAGCGUGGGGAGCAAACAGG